rnacentral:rRNA from 1 species
AGCGUACACGGUGGAUGCCUAGGCAAUCAGAGGCGAUGAAGGACGUGCUAAUCUGCGAUAAGCGUCGGUAAGGUGAUAUGAACCGUUAUACCCGACGAUUUCCGAAUGGGGAAACCCAAUAUCCAAUGGAUAUUAUCAUGACGUGAAUACAUAGCGUCAUGAAGCGAACCGGGAGAACUGAAACAUCUCAGUACCCCGAGGAAAAGAAAUCAACCGAGAUUCCCCUAGUAGCGGCGAGCGAACGGGGAACAGCCCAGAGUCUUAAUCAAUGGCAGCAUCAGGAGAACGGUCUGGAAAGUCCGGCAGUAAAGGGUGAUAGCCCCGUAUCCGAAGAUGCUGUUAUUGUGAACUCGACGAGUAGGGCGGGACACGUGUUAUCCUGUCUGAAUAUGGGGGGACCAUCCUCCAAGGCUAAAUACUCCUGAUUGACCGAUAGUGAACCAGUACCGUGAGGGAAAGGCGAAAAGAACCCCGGCGAGGGGAGUGAAAAAGAACCUGAAACCGUGUACGUACAAGCAGUAGGAGCCCCAUCACUCAAGUGCCUCGCACUGAGUGAUUGGCAAAACCACUCGAAAACAGCGCCGCGUUUACCUACAAAAUGGGUUGAUUUUUUCAAGCCGUCGCGCAGUGUACAUAGAAGUACACGAGCAACGGAAGUUAAAAAAUCGAGCCAGUUUGGCAGUAAAAGCAAGCGGGACAUUUGAGGAUGGGGUGACUGCGUACCUUUUGUAUAAUGGGUCAGCGACUUAUAUUCUGUAGCAAGGUUAACCGUAUAGGGGAGCCGUAGGGAAACCGAGUCUUAACUGGGCGAAUGAGUUGCAGGGUAUAGACCCGAAACCCGGUGAUCUAUCCAUGGGCAGGUUGAAGGUUGGGUAACACUAACUGGAGGACCGAACCGACUAAUGUUGAAAAAUUAGCGGAUGACUUGUGGAUGGGGGUGAAAGGCCAAUCAAACCGGGAGAUAGCUGGUUCUCCCCGAAAGCUAUUUAGGUAGCGCCUCGUGAACUCAUCUUCGGGGGUAGAGCACUGUUUCGACUAGGGGGUCAUCCCGACUUACCAACUCGAUGCAAACUGCGAAUACCGAAGAAUGUUAUCACGGGAGACACACGGCGGGUGCUAACGUCCGUCGUGAAGAGGGAAACAACCCAGACCGCCAGCUAAGGUCCCAAAGUCAUGGUUAAGUGGGAAACGAAGUGGGAAGGCUCAGACAGCCAGGAUGUUGGCUUAGAAGCAGCCAUCAUUUAAAGAAAGCGUAAUAGCUCACUGGUCGAGUCGGCCCGCGCGGAAGAUGUAACGGGGCUAAACCAUGCACCGAAGCUGCGGCAGCGACACUAAGUGUUGUUGGGUAGGGGAGCGUUCUGUAAGCCUGCGAAGGUGUACUGUGAGGUAUGCUGGAGGUAUCAGAAGUGCGAAUGCUGACAUAAGUAACGAUAAUGCGGGUGAAAAACCCGCACGCCGGAAGACCAAGGGUUCCUGUCCAACGUUAAUCGGGGCAGGGUGAGUCGACCCCUAAGGCGAGGCUGAAAAGCGUAGUCGAUGGGAAACGGGUUAAUAUUCCCGUACUGGUGGUAACUGCGAUGGGGGAACGGAGAAGGCUAGGUUGUCCGGGCGACGGUCGUCCCGGUUCAAGCAUGUAGGCAGAGUGAUUAGGCAAAUCCGGUCACUUAAUGCUGAGGUGUGAUGACGAACCACUAAGGUGGUGAAGCAAUUGAUGCCCUGCUUCCAGGAAAAGCCUCUAAGCUUCAGGUUACCAACAAUCGUACCCCAAACCGACACAGGUGGUCAGGUAGAGAAUACUCAGGCGCUUGAGAGAACUCGGGUGAAGGAACUAGGCAAAAUGGUGCCGUAACUUCGGGAGAAGGCACGCUGGCGGUAAGUGAAGUCCCUCGCGGACGGAGCCGAAGCCAGUCGAAGAUACCAGCUGGCUGCAACUGUUUAUUAAAAACACAGCACUGUGCAAACACGAAAGUGGACGUAUACGGUGUGACGCCUGCCCGGUGCUGGAAGGUUAAUUGAUGGGGUUAUCCUUAGGGAGAAGCUCUUGAUCGAAGCCCCAGUAAACGGCGGCCGUAACUAUAACGGUCCUAAGGUAGCGAAAUUCCUUGUCGGGUAAGUUCCGACCUGCACGAAUGGCGUAAUGAUGGCCAGGCUGUCUCCACCCGAGACUCAGUGAAAUUGAACUCGCUGUGAAGAUGCAGUGUACCCGCGGCAAGACGGAAAGACCCCGUGAACCUUUACUAUAGCUUGACACUGAACAUUGAGCCUUGAUGUGUAGGAUAGGUGGGAGACUAAGAAGUGUGGACGCCAGUCUGCAUGGAGUCAACCUUGAAAUACCACCCUUUAACGUUUGAUGUUCUAACCUAGGUCCAUAAUCUGGAUCGGGGACCGUGUCUGGUGGGUAGUUUGACUGGGGCGGUCUCCUCCUAAANUCGGGGACCGUGUCUGGUGGGUAGUUUGACUGGGGCGGUCUCCUCCUAAAGAGUAACGGAGGAGCACGAAGGUUGGCUAAGCAUGGUCGGACAUCAUGCGGUUAGUGCAAAGGCAUAAGCCAGCUUGACUGUGAGAGUGACGGCUCGAGCAGGUACGAAAGUAGGUCUUAGUGAUCCGGUGGUUCUGAAUGGAAGGGCCAUCGCUCAACGGAUAAAAGGUACUCCGGGGAUAACAGGCUGAUACCGCCCAAGAGUUCAUAUCGACGGCGGUGUUUGGCACCUCGAUGUCGGCUCAUCACAUCCUGGGGCUGAAGUAGGUCCCAAGGGUAUGGCUGUUCGCCAUUUAAAGUGGUACGCGAGCUGGGUUUAGAACGUCGUGAGACAGUUCGGUCCCUAUCUGCCGUGGGCGUUGGAAGAUUGAGAGGGGUUGCUCCUAGUACGAGAGGACCGGAGUGAACGCACCACUGGUGUUCGGGUUGUCAUGCCAAUGGCAUUGCCCGGUAGCUAAGUGCGGAAGAGAUAACCGCUGAAAGCAUCUAAGCGGGAAACUUGCCUCGAGAUGAGUCUUCCCUGUCACCUAGAGUGACCUAAAGGAACGUUUAAGACUAAGACGUUGAUAGGCUGGGUGUGUAAGCGUAGCGAUACGUUGAGCUAACCAGUACUAAUGAACCGUGAGGCUUAACC